GCUCCGAGUCGGGGACACUCACAGGCUAGUAGGACCUCGGAGAGAAAGUGCAGGGGACUCUUUACAGGAAGCAAGGAGGGAGAAAUCAGUGCCGGGAGGGAAGGGGAGCGGCAAGGCGCUCGCAGGACCGGAAGCCCACUGCAGAAGGCCGGCUCGGGUUACCUGGGGUGCAGGAGUAGCUGCGGGUCCCUUGUGAAGUGCCCGGAUGAAGCUCCAGCACUCACGCGCCUUCCGCACGGAGCACAGCGCCAUCUUGAGAAGGGCGGAGCCGCCUGGCCCGGAGUGACGUUUGCGGGCAAGCCAGAGGAUUCCCUGAGCUCUGCCUAAUAUUGACUUGUGGGUCUCUGCAUCUGCUUUCAUCAGUUGCUGGAUGAAGCCUCUCUGAUGACUACUGGACUAGGCACCAAUCUAUGUGUAUAGCAGAAUAUCGUUAGGCAUCAUGACAUUGACAUUUUCCUCCUCCAGUCAUGUUUGGUUCUAUCCUUGGUCUCUCAGUCAUCCAGCCUGUGAAUCCUGGUGCUCCAGGCAGGGUCAGGGGUGGGCUUGCUCUCCUAGCAUGGGUUUUAGGCUAGACUGGUCAUUGGUUUAAUGUUGUCCCUCACUCAGACAAGAAAGCUUCAGGUGCAAACAUCUAGUUGUAACUUUGAAGUAGCAGAGGAACAAGGCUCCUGCAGACAUCACGAAGGUGCUCCCAGCCUGUUAAGACAGGUUGGCAGUGGGCUAGACGCAGGCCCGCAAGCGCCUUUAAAAAUACUGUUGUCACGUUUUUUAAUUAUUUGUAAAAUUUCACACGGUGUAUUUUGAUCGUAUUCUUUUCCCUUCCCCAGGUUUUCCUAGAUCCUCCCACCUCCCUACUCACCCAACUUCAUGUUCUUUCUUCCUGCCCCCUCUCAAAAAAACAGCAAAACCUCAAAAGACAAAAACAUUCCAAACCCAAACAAACAAAUAAAAAAAAGCACAUAAAGAAACACGGAGUCCCUUUCAUGUUGACCAACUAUUCCUGAGCCUGAGGCCUGCCCUGGAGUGUGGUUGAUAUACCCAGUGUCACUCCACUGGAGAAAACUAAUUCUCCCCUGCCCAGUAGGUAUCAAUUGCAAAUAGCUUCUUGGUUAGGGGUGGGACUUCGUGCCCACUUCCUCUUCUCUGUGCUGGGAUUUUCUGGCUUGACUUUGUGCAGCUCUUGCGCAUGCUGUCAUCGGCUCUGUGAGCUCAUAUGUGCAUCAGCCCUGCUGUGUCUGGACUGUGUGUGCAGGCAGGCCUUCCAGGGUCACAUUUGGGGCAGGCUGAGAAUCCCAAAGACUAGCAUGGAACACACAAAUGACAUGUAACUAUGCUACGGGUAGUAAUUCAUUAAGAUCAAACACUUGUUUUUAAGAUCUGUGCACUCAUACUGAUACCAGAAAAGAAAACAGGAGAAAGGCAAGCUCUCCUUUACAGGAGAAUGCCAACUGUUAUAUGUAAAGUGAAUAUUAAAAUCACAAAUUUACCAUUUUUCAACACCAGUGAAGUCACCGGUUCCAAUAAAGCACAUCCCUGGUAAACUGCCUGGGAAUGACAGAACUCGCAGACUGAGACGGGCUAUCAAAGAGGGAAAGAGGCUCCUUCCCAACGGAGACAGACGAUGCCCCACCACUAAAUGUCUCAGCAGCAUUGCCAGUGGGGCUGACGCCGGGAAUACCUGCUGUGACACAGUGGCGGAUGGACGCUAUCACUUAAGCAGCGUACACAAAAUAUUUAACCUGCCUCCGAAGAUGAGAAAUCAAUUAGAUACAUAUUGUUAGUUGUCCUUCAAUACAACUAGCUUGGGCUUUUGAAAAAUAUUAAGGCCACAAAGUGAAAAUUUUGGGUGGGGAGGGGGGCACUGUUCUAGAUGACAGGAAAUAAAGAUAUGGAAUACAGUG